CCCCCCCCCCCCCCCCCCCCCCCCCCCCCCCCCCCCCCCCCCCCCCCCCCCCCCCCCCCCCCCCCCCCCCCCCCCCCCCCCCCCCCCAGAGCCCUCCCCGAGUGCCCUGAGACCCCAGAUCCAAAUUAACCCCAGAGCCCUCCCCGAGUGUCCUGAGACCGCAGACCCAAAUGGCGUCAGAGGCCAGACCCAAAUUAACCCCAGAGCCCUCCCGAGUGCCCUGAGACCCCAGACCCAAAUUAACCCCAGUGCCCUCCACGAGUGCCCAGAGACCCCUGACCAAAAAAGGGGACAGAGCCCUCCUUAAGUACCCUGAGACCAAAGACCCAAUUCCACCUUAGAGCCUUCCCCAAGCGCCCAGAGACCCCAGACCCAAAUUUACUCCAGAGCGCUCCCCGACUGCCCUGUCACCCCAGACCCUAAUGAGGGACAGAGGCCUCCCCAAGUAUCCUGAGACCCCAAACCCAAUUCCACAUUAGAGCCCACCCCGAGUGCCCUGAGACCCCCGAACCAAAAAGGGGACAGAGCCAUCCCUAAGUGCCCUGAGAUCCCAGACCCAAUAUAACCCCAGAGCCGUCCGCAAGGGCCCGGAGACCCCUUACCCAAAUUAUCCACAGAGACCUCGACGAGUAUCCUGAGACCCCAGAGCCAAAUUAUCGCCAGAGCCCUCCUUGACUGCCCUGGGCCCCCAAACCCAAAUUACCCCUAGAGCCCUCCCGGAGUGCCCUGAGACCCCAGACGCAAAUGCAGGACCGAGCCCUCCCCGACUGCCCGAAGACCCCACAUCCAAAUAAACCUUAGAGCCUUCCCUGAGUGCCCUGAAACCCCAGAACCAAAUUAAUCCCAGAGCUCUCGCCGAGUGCCCUGGGAACCCAGACCCGAUUUGGGGGCACAGCCAGCCCCGAGUGCCCUGAGACCCCAGACACAAAUUAACCCCAGAGCCCUCCCCGUGUAUCCUGAGACCCCAGACCCAAAUGGGGGACAGAGCCCGUGUUGAGAGCCCUGACACCCCAGAACUAAAUUGACCCUAAAGCCCUCACCAAGUGGCCUGAGACCCGAGACAGAAUUAACCCCAGACCCCUCCCCGAGUGCCCUGAGUCCCCAGAACCAAGUAAUGCCCAGAGCCGUCCCCGAGUGCCCUGAGACCCCAGACCCAAAUGGGGACAGAGCACUCCAAGAGAGCCCUGAGACCUCAGACCUAAAUUAACCCCAGAUCACUCUCCAAGUGCCCUCAGACCUAAGACCCAAAUGGGGGACACAGCCUUCCCCGAGUCUCUUGAGACCACAGACCCAAAUUAACCCCAGAACCCUCCCGAGUGCCCUGAGACCCCAGACCCGAAUGAGAGACAGAGCCCUUGCCAAGUAUCCGGAAAUCCUAGAUGCAAAUUCACCCUAGAACCCUCCCCGAGAUUCCAGAGACCUCAGUCCCAAAUUAACCCCAGAGCCCUCUUAGAGUGCUCUGAUACCCCAGACCCAAAUUAACUCCAGAGCACUCCCUACGUGCCCGGAGACCCCAGAAAAAAAUUAAAUGCAGAGCUUUCCCAGAGAGCCCUGACAACCCAGACGCAAAUUAACUCCAGAUCCCUCUCCGAGCGCCCUGAGAUCACAGGCCAAAAUUCACCCCAGAGCCCUCCCCGAGCGCCCUGAGACCCCAGACCCUAAUGGGGGACAGAACCUUUUUAAAUUCCAUGAGACCCCAGAACCCAUUUAACCCCAGAGCCCUCCCAGAGUUCCCUGAGACCUUAGACCGAAAUGGGAGACACUAGAGCCCUCCCCGAGUUCCCUUAGAC
ensembl:lncRNA